rnacentral:rRNA from 1 species
GUUAGGAAUAUUGGACAAUGGGCGCAAGCCUGAUCCAGCCAUGCCGCGUGAGUGAUAAAGGCCUUCGGGUUGUAAAGCUCUUUAGCCGAUGAUUAUAAUGACUGUAGUCGGAAAAUAAGCCCCGGCUAACUUCGUGCCAGCAGCCGCGGUAAUACGAAGGGGGCGAGCGUUAUUCGGAAUCACUGGGCGUAAAGCGUGCGUAGGCGGCUUUGCAAGUUGGGAGUGAAAGCCCAGGGCUCAACCCUGGAAUUGCUCUCAAAACUGCAAGGCUCGAAUUCGGGAGAGGAUAGCGGAAUUGUCAGUGUAGCAGUGAAAUGCGUAGAUAUUGACAGGAACACCAGUGGCGUAAGCGGCUAUCUGGACCGAUAUUGACGCUGAGGCACGAAAGCGUGGGGAUCAAACAGGAUUAGAUACCCGGGUAGUCC